rnacentral:rRNA from 1 species
GACGAACGCUGGCGGCGUGCUUAAUACAUGCAAGUCGAACGGGAAGGCCCUGCUUUUGUGGGGUGCUCGAGUGGCGAACGGGUGAGUAACACGUGAGUAACCUGCCCUUGCCUUUGGGAUAACUUCAGGAAACUGGGGCUAAUACCGGAUAGGAGCUCUUGCUGCAGGGUGGGGGUUGGAAAGUUUCGGCGGUUGGGGAUGGACUCGCGGCUUAUCAGCUUGUUGGUGGGGUAGUGGCUUACCAAGGCUUUGACGGGUAGCCGGCCUGAGAGGGUGACCGGCCACAUUGGGACUGAGAUGCGGCCCAGACUCCUACGGGAGGCAGCAGUGGGGAAUAUUGCACAAUGGGCGGAAGCCUGAUGCAGCAACGCCGCGUGCGGGAUGACGGCCAGCGGGUUGUAAUCCGCAUUCGCCUUUGACGAAGCGUGAGUGACGGUAAUGGGUGAAGAAGCACCGGCUAACUACGUG